UGAAGCUUUUGCCUCUCUAGCCCCCCUAUCCAGGGUUAGAUUAUUCCCAGACUCGUCUUUAUGCUGAGGAGAGAAGCUUUGGAGAGGAUGAAAGACACUACCGUGGCCACUGAUGGCAACUUGAAUCACAAACACUGAUGCAGUACUCCCUCCAUUAUCCUUCUGCAAGCAAAGCAAAUGCCUGCUGCAGUUCACUCAUCUGAGAUGAAGUAUCCUUGCGAUGAACAGGACCUUUCUCCGGGAGGCUCUUGCGUCCGAGCGGCUGAAUCACCCGGGGGAGGUUCACGGGUCGGUCCCAACACGUCAGCCGAAAAGGGCCACGUGGGGUCCAACGCAACAAUAGCGAUGCUCGCUGCACGCGCAUGCUCGGGUGCACCUCCGCUUGCUGCUGCCGCUGCUGCUCAUCAAUGGCGCGUCGGUCGUCUCCUGUUCAAAAUUUUCGUCUCCUCUGCUGCGCUUCUUUUACUCGCGCACGUCUCUCUCGAUCUCAUCGGCAUUCGCGUCGGUCGUCCCGCUGCGCUUCACACACACACACUCUCUCUCUCUCUUGCCUUUCUCGUAAACGUAAAAGAAAAAGCGAGCAGAGAGAGGGGGUGAGAGAGAGAGAGAGAGAGAGAGAGAGAGAGAGACAGAAGCAGAGAAAAGAACAAGAAAAAGGAAUAGAGGAGACAGACUCGAAAGCAGAAAUAACAGCUGACACUCUUUCUUUGCCCCCCUCCCUUCCUCUCUCUCCUCUAUUUAUUUUCUCCCCCACCCUUUGUCUCCGUCACUCACCAGAGAUCCCAACCAAAGGAGAGAGGAGCAAGAAAACAGAGAAAGAAGCAAAGAGAAGAGGUGGGACGGACUCACCAGGGUCUCUUCCGGAAUGUGGUCAGCCCUCGGGACCUCUCCUUCCCCAACAAGGAGGAGGAGGAGGAAAAGGUACCAAGAUGAUGGUGAUCCAGGCAACAACAAUGUGCUCCUGCAAUAAGACACCAAAUUCUCUAGUCCUUUUGAUUCUAUUAGUCAACAUGAAUUAGAUAAGGACAUGCUUGGAGAACUAGGGAAUGAAGCCAUUGGUCCGCAAGACAUAAAUAUUUUGGGUCAUUAUAAAUGACAUUUCUCAUCUCUAUUUCUAGUUCAGUUCAAUGACAUUCAGUUCAGUUCAAUUCUCUUCCUUGUUGGUAUUUACCUAGGUUUAUACUUCAGUUCAAUUCUCUUCUUGGGAGAUGAAUGCUGACAGGUAGCAACAUAUAUCUUCACAAAAACCCAAGGUAGAAUUCGGCCAUAAAUUCUAUUCAGA